GACGUAGGGCGCGAGCGUUGUCCGGAAUUAUUGGGCGUAAAGAGCUCGUAGGCGGUUUGUCGCGUCUGCUGUGAAAAACCUAAGGCUCAACCUUGGGCUUGCAGUGGGUACGGGCAGACUAGAGUGCGGUAGGGGUGACUGGAAUUCCCGGUGUAGCGGUGAAAUGCGCAGAUAUCGGGAGGAACACCUAUGGCGAAGGCAGCUCGCUGGGACGUUACUGACGCUGAGACGCGAAAGCGUGGGGAGCAAACAGG
rnacentral:rRNA from 1 species